CCUCAGUCCCAAGAGCACUUGCGGUUGAGACCUCCCAGAUGGAUCCGGCCUGCUGAGCCUUCCCUGGCCAUCUCGCCCUUGCUUCUGUGGCUUCUGAAUGCGGCAGGAAAUCCACCGCUGUAUCUAAGCUUUGGGAUUCAUUUUUAUGCUUUUGUUUGUUUGUUUGUUUGUUUGUUUGUGUUUUGAGACUGAGUUCCAUUAUGUAGUCCAGGGUGUUGUGGAAUUCACUGUAUAGUCCAGGGUCUUCUGCCUGGGGAAUGUGCUGCCCACAGUGGUCUGGGACUUCCCAUGGCAAUCAACAAUCAAGGCAAUCCCCUAAAGACUUGUCCACUGGCCUGAUCUGAGCCUUUCUUCAGUCAAGACUCUUGUCUCAGAUGAUCCUAGGUUGUCACAAGUUGGCAUGACAUUGGGCAUGGCGGUACAUAUCUAUCAUCCCAACACCAGAAACACCGAGGUGGAAAGAUUUUGAGUAGCCGCCAGUCUGGACUAUACACUGAGACUUUGGCUCUAAGAAAACUGUUUGGGAGUGGAACUAGAAGUAUAGAGUUCAGAUGCCCAGUGUGAAUAGGCCCUGGGUUCAUCUGCCGCACUGUAAAUGGAGAAGAACAUUUGAUGAAAUGACACAUGUGAUAUUUUUGUGGAGUUUCUUAUGUCAAUUUUAAUCUAUAUUGUCUAUGAGCGUUUGCCAUCAGGUGUGUAUGUGCACGCUGUGCAUGUCUGAUGCCUGAAGAAGCCAAGAGGAGGACAUCAGACCCCUACCAACCAGAGUUCAUAAGACACUGAGACACAUAGAGCUACAGUCUCUUGAUGGCUGUCGCAUGUAACCACGUCGAUCCAAACUCCAUAUGUAGUGAAGAUGCUGACUUUCCCAGUCCUCCGUGUGCUGGGGCUCUGCUUGUCUCCACUGGUGGAGGAGUGGAGAGGUGCGGGGGACUCUUCUGUUUGUUCUGACUCUGCCCUAACGGGACGAUGUUUUAUGCGUCAUACCGGUGUAGGUAGGGCUCACACACAGCCUUUAUCACCGAGCCACACUGCCACCCCUUCAGAUUUUAGAGCCAAGGAUACAGUAUUCUCCUGGGAGUAAGUGGCCUAAGGACCCUAGUGUGCUGCUGAAUGCCUGCUGAGAUUUCCCAGCUUCCGUCUUAUCACGACCGCAAUCGAUUCUGUUCCCAUUCAAAUGACGUAGCAUGCCCUGGUGAGCGCUGACCAGCCUUUCGGUAAGCCGUUAUCUUUCUAUGCCACGGGGCAGCAUGUCAGGUUGCUCAGCAAAAUGUACCACGGCAUAGUGGAAAGUCUUGAUGCCCUCCGAGGGCACAGCAUGAGGCGGGCAUGCAAGGGAGGUUGUUUUCGGUAGGAUCUAUCUGACACCCGUCAUGUCUACUCCGGGCUUCGAUAAGGAAAGGGUCAUGACAAGGUCCAAGCACACCCAUUCUUCAGCCACGCCGCUGUCUUGCACCUUGUCUUGAGAGGGAGGUUGACACAGGAGGUCUAAAGUCCAGUGCUCACCCAACGUUUCUUCUGUCACCUGGACCCUGUUCCUAGCUACACUGCUCGGGGGUGUGUCCCCUGGUUGGGAGAACCCAAGCCUGAAACAAUGAGUAAUGAAUAAGAGAAUGAGGCAAGGGCGGGAGUUUGUGCUUGGUCAUCAUUUCAGCCGCUGUCCACGCCGCUCGCCCGCGGCGGCGAAGCAGGGAGCCUACAGUCCGCACCCGGUGUGGACGUCUCAGAUGCAUGACCAGCUUGCUCUGUGCUUUGCCUGUACCAAGAACAGAAUUUGACCUUGUCUAUCACAGGGUACAGUGGGCAAGCAGGGUGCGUUCCUCAGAGUCACGGGCCCGCAGCAUGAGAGCCAGGUCGUUACAGUUCUCAGCAACUUUGUGUGGCUUCUGAUGACUAAGCAUAGCCUCUUUGUUUUAAAAAAGCAUCCCUCUAGCUGCCCCUACCCCCACAACAGCAUCGCUUUUUAAUUUGUGGUUAAAAAAAAUACAUAAGGGCUAGAUCUUAUUUUGUUUACCUUUUAAAAAUUCAAGUAUUUGUGUGUGGUGUAUGUGCGCGUGUGUGUACACAGGCUUGUGGAAGCCAGAAGACAACCUCGGAAACUCUGCCUACGUCCUUUGAGAUAAAGCAUCCCAUUGGUCUGGAGCUCUCAAUUUCGGCUAGACUGGCCGGCUAGCGAGCUCCAGCAAUCCCGUCUCUGCCUCAGUGUUUACAUCCACCCUUCGGAUCGAACCCGGGGACUCAUACUCAAGACAAGUACUUAAUGACUGAGUGACCCCUCUAGCCCUUGGAUAUUUUUAUGGUUAUUUUGGGGGUUAGAACCCAGAACUGCCCUGGAUUAUGGAUAUAGCUGCUGUUCUUGGUUUCUUGAGCCAGGACGCAGGAUAUAUCCCAGCCUGGUCUGGAACUCACAUAAGCCUCCUGCCUCAGCUUCUUCAAUAUUGGGAUUACAGGUGUGUAUCACCUCAGCCAUCUUAAACACUUUAUA
rnacentral:lncRNA from 1 species